CCCAGCUCUCCUGCCUCCCGCUUCAGCUGCCCAAGUGCUUCAGGAUAGGCCUUUGGCCUCUGGGCCCUGCCACAGCAGGAUGGCAUUUCACCAACUUGUGUUCCGAAGAGACCAAAAAAAUGUGGAGCCUGACUGAAAGCCUUGUGGAGCUCCUGCAGGACGCAGAUGGAGAGAUAGUUUGCAUGACGGUCAUGCUACUCAGCUUUAUUAUUUUGGACAACGACACGCUGAUAGCCGGCCCCAUCACACUGCAGCUGGUUGAGGCGCUCCUGCCACUCUUUGACCACGACAAUAACCAGGUGCAGGUGCUCUCCAUACUCCUCUUCCGAACAUUGGUGACCCUUCCACAGAAAAAGGAAAAAAGGCCCUGAAGACACCCCUGCGCCAGAGCCUGCUGCCACUCUUCUUCCACUGCCAUGAUGAGAAUCGGCUUGUGGCACAGGUUUCUCAGGAAACGCUGCUUUGUGUGGCCGAGCUCCUGAAGAGGAGGGAUCUUGAAAAACAGCUGAAGAACAAGAAGCUGUGGAAGUUCACCGAGUGCCUGCUGGCAGAGGACAGGAGCCGAGCGGCCGAGCACCUGCGCCGGGCCCU